GUGAAAUAAAUCACAAUAAAACAUACACCCCUUUGUUUGAACGUGAACAUUUCUCCCAUCCCCUUUGUAAAUGAAAAAACCCUUACCUCAAUUGGAGGAAAGGGUUUUUU
rnacentral:sRNA from 1 species